CGAUAUGUUGGUUCAAGCCUGUAGUCGUGCCUGGUAGGCAAAUCCGCCGGGCUUAGAUGAGGGGUGAUAACGAGUCUGCUUGCAGACGAAGUGAGUGAUACCCAGCUUCCAGGAAAAGCCACUAAGCUUCAGCUACACACGACCGUACCGCAAACCGACACUGGUGCGCGAGAUGAGUAUUCUAAGGCGCUUGAGAGAACUCAGGAGAAGGAACUCGGCAAAUUGAUACCGUAACUUCGGGAGAAGGUAUGCCCCAAGUAGGUGAACUCGAACAGAGGGAGCCCAACGGGGUUGCAAAAAAUCGGUGGCUGCGACUGUUUAAUAAAAACACAGCACUCUGCAAACACGAAAGUGGACGUAUAGGGUGUGACGCCUGCCCGGUGCUGGAAGAUUAAAUGAUGGGGUGCAAGCUCUUGAUUGAAGUCCCAGUAAACGGCGGCCGUAACGAUAACGGUCCUAAGGUAGCGAAAUUCCUUGUCGGGUAAGUUCCGACCUGCACGAAUGGCGUAACGAUGGCCACACUGUCUCCUCCUGAGACUCAGCGAAGUUGAAAUGUUUGUGAUGAUGCAAUCUCCCCGCGGAAAGACGGAAAGACCCCAUGAACCUUUACUGUAGCUUUGUAUUGGACUUUGAACAGAUCUGUGUAGGAUAGGUGGGAGGCUUUGAAGUGAUGUCGCUAGAUGUCAUGGAGCCAACGUUGAAAUACCACCCUGGUGUGUUUGAGGUUCUAACCUAGGUCCAUUAUCUGGAUCGGGGACAGUGCAUGGUAGGCAGUUUGACUGGGGCGGUCUCCUCCCAAAGCGUAACGGAGGAGUUCGAAGGUACGCUAGUUACGGUCGGACAUCGUGACGAUAGUGCAAUGGCAUAAGCGUGCUUAACUGCGAGACUGACAAGUCGAGCAGAUGCGAAAGCAGGACAUAGUGAUCCGGUGGUUCUGUAUGGAAGGGCCAUCGCUCAACGGAUAAAAGGUACUCUGGGGAUAACAGGCUGAUACCGCCCAAGAGUUCAUAUCGACGGCGGUGUUUGGCACCUCGAUGUCGGCACAUCUCAUCCUGGGGCUGUAGCCGGUCCCAAGGGUAUGGCUGUUCGCCAUUUAAAGAGGUACGUGAGCUGGGUUUAAAACGUCGUGAGACAGUUUGGUCCCUAUCUUCCGUGGGCGCUGCAGAUUUGAGGAAGCCUGCUCCUAGUACGAGAGGACCGGAGUGGACACACCUCUGGUGUAUCGGUUGUCACGCCAGUGGCAUUGCCGAGUAGCUAAGUGUGGAAGAGAUAACCGCUGAAAGCAUCUAAGCGGGAAACUCGUUUCAAGAUGAGAUCUGCCGGGGCCUUGAGCCCCCUGAAGAGUCGUUCAAGACCAGGACGUUGAUAGGUCAGGUGUGGAAGC
rnacentral:rRNA from 1 species